UACGGGGGGGCAAGCGUUGUUCGGAAUUACUGGGCGUAAAGGGCUCGUAGGCGGCCAACUCAGUCAGACGUGAAAUCCCCAGGCUCAACCUGGGAACUGCGUCUGAUACUGGAUGGCUUGAAUCCGGGAGAGGGAUGCAGAAUUCCAGGUGUAGCGGUGAAAUGCGUAGAUAUCUGGAGGAAUACCGGUGGCGAAGGCGGCAUCCUGGACCGACAUUGACGCUGAUGAGCGAAAGCUAGGGGAGCAAACGGG
rnacentral:rRNA from 1 species